rnacentral:lncRNA from 1 species
UAAAAUUAUCUGGUUUGAUUUGGCUCAGUACCCAUUCACACCAUGGGCUUUAGGACAAGUACUGGACACAUUCAAGACCCUUUAUGGCAAUCCACCUAUAUUCAUUCAUGAAAAUGGUAUGCUUACCUCUCGUUCAAGAUUACAUUGAUGGCAAUGAAUCUCUUAUAGGAAAUCGUCAUUGGAUGCUGAUUGAGGUUGAAUAAUAAGUUGCGGCGCUAAGGUUUUCCUGUCAUAGACGGCCAAAUAACAUUUUGACUAGGUUAUUGCAUAUUAUGGUUUUCAUGUAUUUUCCAUCCUCAAUUGUAUGGAAUUGUAAACUUAAGCAUCAAGGGAUUUGACAAUGAUUUGGUGGACCAUUCAUAACGCUUGUAAUUAUCGUUUUUAAACAAAUGUUGCAUAAGAUGAGUUCCAAUUGUUUGAAUUGUUAGGCCAACGGACACUAAGCAAUGCAUCACUCCAUGAUGAAUCAAGGUUGAAAUACUUGCAUGGAUACAUUGGUGCCGUGCUUGAUUCCUUAAGGUAUGUGAUUGCUACUCCAUACUAUUAUAUUUUGAAAAAUUAGAUUUAGAAAAUGUCUUUGAAAGAAGUUACUUAUCCAAUAAAUGAAAACAGUCCUAAACACGCAACAUUCAUAAAAGCAAUCACACCUGAAAUAAACACCUAUGCUUUGAUAUGGUAUGUGAUCUUCCGUCUCAUUUUUUUUAUCCUUCAGAAAUGGAUCAAAUAUGAAGGGAUAUUUCGUGUGGUCUUUCAUGGAUGCAUUCGAGUUGUUGGAUGGAUAUGAAUCGAUCUAUGGGCUGUACUAUGUCGAUAGGAAUGAUCCAGAGUUGAGAAGAUACCCAAAGCUAUCCGCAAAAUGGUACAGCCAAUUUUUGAAGGGUACAAGAUCCUCUCUAGUUGGUGCAAUUGAACUCAAUAACGAUUCAUCACUUGUUUCGGUUGGACAUUUACUUCAGUAGUGGGUUCUAUAAUUUGUAUGCAUUAAAGUGUUGUUACAUUUGGUGUUUCUGUUGAGAGACUUUCAGUUUUGUCGGUUAGCUGGUUAGUGGUUUAGAUGUUUAACAAAUCUGUUUGCAUGAUCAUUAUUUAGUUGAUCUAUCUAAAACCACUAUUCCAUCUGUGUAUGCAAUCAUCAUAAAGUGAGUGAUCUCACAUUAACAAUGGUAUCUAGUUCUUUGAUUUGGGACACGUGCAUACGAGAAUGUGAGGUUGUUUGCGAAAUCUGAGGUAGUCAUGACUAACUCUAAUGGUUCUUCGUUGGCCAACCUGUCUUUUCUUUAUGGCAAAAACUUAUAAUAGAGAAGUGGUUCCAGAUGCAAGUCAUCUUUGGUUUCUGGGAUGUGUUUGAAAUUUUGCAAGGCUCUCUUAUUGAUUCAUCUAUGUGUGAACUAUACGAAUUUUAGAAGAUAGCUGCAAAGGAUGCCUGAGACAUGUUAAAAAAUUCUUAUGUUGUUGCAAAGGUUGCCAAAGUAAGACUAUAGUUCAUGGACAAUAAAUAUUAACCAGAACUGUACGUCUUGUUUUGCUCAAAAACCACAAAGGAGCUGAUCAGCAGACAAAUGUGGCUUGCCUCUCUUAAAUUUCCUUGUGUUUUAUUAGAACUAAGAGAGAGAUUAGCACCAAAACGUGUCUCACUCUAAAUAUGUAUUUGCUUAUAUUUCAGGCUGGAUAGAGUAUUAUCUUUUCCAUUCAAUUUGUUUUAUUCAGCCAUUAACAAAAUUAUUUUUCAAACAAAAUAAACAAGAGAAAGCUAUUGCCAUUUUCAUAAAGUAUAUCAAGGCAGAAACAGUAAUUUUUCAGGAAAANNNNNNNNNNNNNNNNNNNNNNNNNNNNNNNNNNNNNNNNNNNNNNNNNNNNNNNNNNNNNNNNNNNNNNNNNNNNNNNNNNNNNNNNNNNNNNNNNNNNAAGCUUGCUGUACUAAUUGCAUUUUUUUUCAUAUGAUUCUGUUGUUUUCAACUAGUUGAACUCUUUACAUCAUUUAGUAUCUGACUCCCCUUUUCAUCACUUGUUGAAUAACCAUGUGCAUCACUUGUUGAAUAAUUGGUGGAGUAAAAUGAACUAUUUCUUUGUUUUCUGUGGUUUUGCAGGUUUAGAGGAAGUACUUGGAGAGAAUGAGGUAACGGUUAAAAAACUAAUUAAAAUUAUCAUCUUAAUUGAUUUGUUCAAUCACAGAUUACUUCACAGUAAAAUUAUCUGGUUUGAUUUGGCUCAGUACCCAUUCACACCAUGGGCUUUAGGACAAGUACUGGACACAUUCAAGACCCUUUAUGGCAAUCCACCUAUAUUCAUUCAUGAAAAUGGUAUGCUUACCUCUCGUUCAAGAUUAAAUUGAUUGCAAUGAAUCUCUUUUAGGAAAUCGUCAUUGGAUGCUGAUUGAGGUUGAAUAAUAAGUUGCGGCGCUAAGGUUUUCCUGUCAUAGACGGCCAAAUAACAUUUUGACUAGGUUAUUGCAUAUUAUGGUUUUCAUGUAUUUUCCAUCCUCAAUUGUAUGGAAUUGUAAACUUAAGCAUCAAGGGAUUUGACAAUGAUUUGGUGGACCAUUCAUAACGCUUGUAAUUAUCGUUUUUAAACAAAUGUUGCAUAAGAUGAGUUCCAAUUGUUUGAAUUGUUAGGCCA